rnacentral:lncRNA from 1 species
CCCCAGCCCCACCCAGCUUGCACAACUCAGAGCAUUUGCAUCCACAAUUCCCUCCCUUCAUCACUCACUUGGUCUUUGAGGAGUCAUUUCUCCAGUCAGGACGUGUGAGCAUGUAUGCUGGGAGACUUCCAUGGCACAUUUUGGAACUUUGUGCUUUUUUUUUUCCCCUUAGGAUGAACCAUGUGAAAGUGCCAGUUUUGUGAGUCACCAUUGUGUAUGGUUCAACCUGGUACCUGUCAGUUAUCCAGUCUCGUGUGCCGAUGUCACUGUCACCGUGAGGUGUGGUUCUCAUUCCUGAAUCUGGAUGAAUUGGCUGGAAGCUCAGGAAGGAGGUUUCUCUUCAGGAAAGAAAUGGAAGAAUAUAAGCCUCCUGCUCCAGCAGCGCCCAUGGCUGCCUUCCAGCUGGGCCUGGAUCCUCUGCUAUCGUGGACCCCACCCUGCACGUUCCUGUCUGCAUCUGGAGGCCCCGCGGCCUCUGGCUGUUGGCCUACUAGAGCAAGGCAGACUUUCUCAGCCCAGCAAAGGCGUUGGCUCUGGAGACAAGAAGUUAGAGAGAACUCAAGAAGCCAAUGGAAGUAUUUCCUCUGGAUUGUGCAUGAUGUCCACUAAUCUUGGAAGGAUCACUCUCUUCUGGGCACGCACGGGAGAUGUGAACGGAAGGAAGGGGAGGAGGGACAGAGAACCAGCAGAUGAGGGCCCUGACUCUGCCAAGCUACGUUAA